rnacentral:rRNA from 1 species
CUAUCAUGCAGUCGAGCGAACAGAAGGGAGCUUGCUCCCGGAUGUUAGCGGCGGACGGGUGAGUAACACGUGGGUAACCUGCCUGUAAGACUGGGAUAACUCCGGGAAACCGGAGCUAAUACCGGAUAGUUCCUUGAACCGCAUGGUUCAAGGAUGAAAGACGGUUUCGGCUGUCACUUACAGAUGGACCCGCGGCGCAUUAGCUAGUUGGUGGGGUAAUGGCUCACCAAGGCGACGAUGCGUAGCCGACCUGAGAGGGUGAUCGGCCACACUGGGACUGAGACACGGCCCAGACUCCUACGGGAGGCAGCAGUAGGGAAUCUUCCGCAAUGGACGAAAGUCUGACGGAGCAACGCCGCGUGAGUGAUGAAGGUUUUCGGAUCGUAAAGCUCUGUUGUUAGGGAAGAACAAGUGCGAGAGUAACUGCUCGCACCUUGACGGUACCUAACCAGAAAGCCACGGCUAACUACGUGCCAGCAGCCGCGGUAAUACGUAGGUGGCAAGCGUUGUCCGGAAUUAUUGGGCGUAAAGGGCUCGCAGGCGGUUUCUUAAGUCUGAUGUGAAAGCCCCCGGCUCAACCGGGGAGGGUCAUUGGAAACUGGGAAACUUGAGUGCAGAAGAGGAGAGUGGAAUUCCACGUGUAGCGGUGAAAUGCGUAGAGAUGUGGAGGAACACCAGUGGCGAAGGCGACUCUCUGGUCUGUAACUGACGCUGAGGAGCGAAAGCGUGGGGAGCGAACAGGAUUAGAUACCCUGGUAGUCCACGCCGUAAACGAUGAGUGCUAAGUGUUAGGGGGUUUCCGCCCCUUAGUGCUGCAGCUAACGCAUUAAGCACUCCGCCUGG